CUUCAGGGCAGAGGGGAGGAAAUCAUAAUGCAUGCUGGGAAUAUUCUGUGUCUGUGGGUCCUAACCUGCCAUAUGUCUGUCUAUUGUUACAGUCUCCCAUUUGGUCCCCUAGUGGAGUGUCCACCAAGUGGGAGACCUGCAUAAAUACGGGCAGGUAGCCCACAGUAAAGCCAGUUCAUGUUUUACCCUCAAUGCGGAGCUUGGUCUCGUUAUUGGGGGGAUUUAUUACC